rnacentral:lncRNA from 1 species
GUGGUGCUGACGAUCGAACCCGGGCCGCAUGCAUGCCAGGCGAGUGCGCUACCGCUUGAGCCACAUCCCCAGCCCUAUAUAUUUAUUUUCUACAUAUCAAUUUCUCUAUCACUUUCUUUUCUUAUCCUUCUAAUUUCCUGGGGUUUAACUUUCUUUUCUUUUAGCUUCUUAAGAUUGAAGCUUAGAUCAAUGACUUCUCAGUCUUUCUUCUUUUCCAAAAUGUGCAUGUGCCUGUGGAUGUAUCAGCUUCCCUCUGGACACUGCUUUAGCAAUAUUCUGUAAGUUUUGAUGUGUCAUGUUUUCAUAGUCAUUUAUUUAAAAGUAUUUUCUAAUCUCCAUUAUAAUUUCUCCUUCUACCUAUGAGUUAUUUAGAAGCAAUGUCUUCAAAUAGUUUAGAAUUUAGUUUUUUUUGGUUGUUUGUUUGUUUUAAUUCCUAAUUAAUCCUGGGUCAGAGAAUGUAUUCUAUAUUAUUUCAGUCUUUUAACAUUUGUUGAUAACUAUCUUUGUAGCCUAACAUAUAAUAUGUGCACAAAAAUGUUUUCUGCAGUUGUUAGGUACAGAUUCCUAUAUAGGUCAAUUAGAUCAAAUUGAUUAAUUAUGCUGUUUAAAUCUUCAAAAUCCUUACUGAUUAUUUUUGUCUGUUUGUUCCAGCAGUUAUUGAGAUAGCUGUGUUAAAAUCUCUAACUAAAACUGCCUCUUUCUCUUUUCAGUUCUGUCACUUUUACUUUGUAUAUUUGGAAGCUAUGUUAUAAAUGUG